CCUACGGGAGGCAGCAGUAGGGAAUAUUGCUCAAUGGGGGAAACCCUGAAGCAGCAACGCCGCGUGGAGGAUGAAGGUUUUCGGAUUGUAAACUCCUUUUGUUAGAGAAGAUAAUGACGGUACCUAACGAAUAAGCACCGGCUAACUCCGUGCCCGCAGCCGCGGUAAUACGGAGGGUGCAAGCGUUACCCGGAUUCACUGGGGGUAAAGAGCGCGUAGGCGGGAUAGCAAGUCUGGUGUGAAAGCCUAUGGCUUAACCAUAGGACUGCAUUUGAAACUGUUAGGCUAGAGUGUGGGAGAGGUAGGUGGAAUUCUUGGGGUAGGGGUAAAAUGCGUAGAGAUCAAGAGGAACACUAGUUGCGAAGGCGACCUACUGGAACGUAACUGACGCUGAGGCGCGAAAGCGUGGGGAGCAAACAGGAUUAGAUACCCGUGUAGUC
rnacentral:rRNA from 1 species